rnacentral:tRNA from 2 species
GGGCCUAUAGCUCAGUUGGUUAGAGCAGCGGACUCAUAAUCCGUCGGUCGUAGGUUCGAGUCCUACUGGGCCCACCA